rnacentral:lncRNA from 1 species
AUCAUACUUCACAGGUUCAGGUCAUCACUUAAAUAUUUCUGAGGUACUACCAGUUUCAUCUUUUGGAGAUUCAGUCACUCCAGCUCCACCACCUAUAGCUCCAGUUGUAGCUCCACCACCUACAGCUCCAGUUGUAGCUCCACCACCUAUAGCUCCAGUUCCUCCACAUAAUCCAGUUCAACCUUCUGCAGCUCCACCACUCUUGACUUAUCAUCGUCGUCCACAUCCAGCAUCAGGCCCAGGUGAUUCACGCCCCGCAUCAGAUUCUGCACCUACUGCGGACUUGUCUCCUCUUAGUCAACCAAUUGCACUCCGCAA